rnacentral:lncRNA from 1 species
UGAAAUCAAAGUUUGUAAUGUUGUGAUUAAACAUCUCAGAGCUAGUUUGUUAGGUUGGUUAAAAGCUUAGAACUCUAUUGAAGAUUUUUUUUGUGAAAUCCCUACGGAGGAAAAUCAAUGGGGAAAAUACAUAGUACGCUGUUUUUAAGUUAACUAAACUACAGCUUCAUUGUUUGUAGAGAGACAGACUCUCUCUCUCUCUCUCUCUCUCUCAAAAUGUCCAUAUUUGAGAAAUAAAAUAGGGUAGUUUGCAUCACUGGAUAUAGCUGUCAGUCAUUUAACAUUUCUAUUGUGAAACUUAUUGUUAAAAGUAGACUAAUAUAUAAUGAUUUGCAGCUUCAUCUUACCUCGCUCUCUUUAACGUUAAACUGACGCUUCGCACUCUGCUUCUGUCAACAGUAAACCCCGCCUACUUUGAUUUGAUUGGCCUGUCACUACUUGAUCCAUGGCGUAAACACGAUUUGUAAUGCACAUCCUUGAAAUUGCUUCCACUUUCUGUCACUGGCAACGUUUUUACGACAAUGUUUAGCGAUAUGGAUUCUUUUGUGUUCUAUAUACAGCUUAAAGAAUUUCUCUUAAAAGGAGAAAUUCUGGACAAUUCUGCAAAUCAUCGAAAGAUUAGACGGGCGUCAAUGAAUUUUAUCAUCAAAGGUAACUAUUAGUACCUGAAAGAUUUUAUAAUGAAAAAGAGAAUAGACUCUAUUACAAACUGGGCCAUGUGCUUAACUUAAAAAAAAAUGAUUUUAAAAUAUCAAGCUACAGUACAUUCACAGUACUUGUUUAGCUCUCAUAUCUGGAUAUGUAAUUUGAUCUUUUUACAUGGAAUUGCAGCUUCUUCUGACUUUUCUUAAUUCCAAUUGAAAUAGAUGACAGACUCCUCUACGUCGGCCCCAGUAGGCAGUACAUGAGGCUUGUUGUCCUGUCAGAGGAGGAGAAGAGGUCUGCUCUUACGGAGUGCCACAGUAACCCUGGCACUGCCAAUCACAAUGGCGUCAGAGGCACUCAAAACAGGGUUAUUGCUGGCUACUACUGGCAUACAAUUAUACAGGAUGUGAAAGAAUGGGUAAUGUACUACGUCCGAUCCUGUCCCCGCUGCCAGUUGAAUGACCGCAUCAAGAUCAUGCCAGUCUUGCAUUCUAUUAAGGUACUGCAUACAAUAUUUUAACAUACCGAUGAGAUUAACAAGCUAGUCUCAACCUUGUGUACAGUUUUACCAGCACUUGGUUGAUGCUAAUUUGUGCCAUGCAGGUUAAAAAAAACCUUGGGAGGUGUUUGGUUUGGAUUUGAUUGGACCACUGCCAGAAACAGCACGUA